rnacentral:rRNA from 1 species
AGAGUUUGAUCCUGGCUCAGGAUGAACGCUGGCGGCGUGCUUAACACAUGCAAGUCGAACGAACCUUCGGGUUAGUGGCGGACGGGUGAGUAACGCGUGGGAAUCUACCCUCAGGAGGGGGAUAACGGUUGGAAACGGCCGCUAAUACCCCAUAUGCCGCGAGGUGAAAUGAAUUUCGCCUGAGGAUGAGCCCGCGUCUGAUUAGCUAGUUGGUGAGGUAAUGGCCCACCAAGGCUUCGAUCAGUAGCUGGUCUGAGAGGAUGAUCAGCCACACUGGGACUGAGACACGGCCCAGACUCCUACGGGAGGCAGCAGUGGGGAAUUUUCCGCAAUGGGCGAAAGCCUGACGGAGCAACGCCGCGUGAGGGAUGAAGGCCUCUGGGCUGUAAACCUCUUUUCUCAAGGAAGAAGAUCUGACGGUACUUGAGGAAUAAGCCACGGCUAAUUCCGUGCCAGCAGCCGCGGUAAUACGGGAGUGGCAAGCGUUAUCCGGAAUUAUUGGGCGUAAAGCGUCCGCAGGCGGCCUUUCAAGUCUGCUGUUAAAACGUGGAGCUUAACUCCAUCAAGGCAGUGGAAACUGUUGGGCUUGAGUGUGGUAGGGGCAGAGGGAAUUCCCGGUGUAGCGGUGAAAUGCGUAGAUAUCGGGAAGAACACCAGUGGCGAAGGCGCUCUGCUGGGCCAUAACUGACGCUCAUGGACGAAAGCCAGGGGAGCGAAAGGGAUUAGAUACCCCUGUAGUCCUGGCCGUAAACGAUGAACACUAGGUGUCGGGGGAAUCGACCCCCUCGGUGUCGUAGCCAACGCGUUAAGUGUUCCGCCUGGGGAGUACGCACGCAAGUGUGAAACUCAAAGGAAUUGACGGGGGCCCGCACAAGCGGUGGAGUAUGUGGUUUAAUUCGAUGCAACGCGAAGAACCUUACCAGGGUUUGACAUCCUGCGAACCUCUUAGAAAUUUGAGGGUGCCUUCGGGAACGCAGUGACAGGUGGUGCAUGGCUGUCGUCAGCUCGUGUCGUGAGAUGUUGGGUUAAGUCCCGCAACGAGCGCAACCCACGUUUUUAGUUGCCAGCAUUAAGUUGGGCACUCUAGAGAGACCGCCGGUGAUAAACCGGAGGAAGGUGUGGAUGACGUCAAGUCAUCAUGCCCCUUACAUCCUGGGCUACACACGUACUACAAUGCUACGGACAAAGGGCAGCAAACUCGCGAGGGCUAGCAAAUCCCAUAAACCGUGGCUCAGUUCAGAUCGUAGGCUGCAACUCGCCUACGUGAAGGAGGAAUCGCUAGUAAUCGCAGGUCAGCAUACUGCGGUGAAUACGUUCCCGGGCCUUGUACACACCGCCCGUCACACCAUGGAAGUUGGCCACGCCCGAAGUCGUUACUCCAACCCUUGUGGAGGAGGACGCCGAAGGUGGGGCUGAUGACUGGGGUGAAGUCGUAACAAGGUAGCCGUACCGGAAGGUGCGGCUG